UCCAGGGUAGCCUAGUGGACAUGGCACCUGCCCGGUAAGCAGAAGGUUGUGCUUCGAUUCCCGCCCCUGGAC